rnacentral:rRNA from 1 species
UGGGGAAUAUUGGACAAUGGGGGGAACCCUGAUCCAGCAAUGCCGCGUGUGUGAAGAAGGCCUGAGGGUUGUAAAGCACUUUCAGUGGGGAGGAGGGUUGACUGGUUAAGAGCUGGUUGAUUGGACGUUACCCACAGAAGAAGCACCGGCUAACUCCGUGCCAGCAGCCGCGGUAAUACGGAGGGUGCAAGCGUUAAUCGGAAUUACUGGGCGUAAAGGGUGCGUAGGUGGUUAAUUAAGUUAUCUGUGAAAUCCCCGGGCUCAACCUGGGCAGGUCAGAUAAUACUGGUUAACUCGAGUAUGGGAGAGGGUAGUGGAAUUUCCGGUGUAGCGGUGAAAUGCGUAGAGAUCGGAAGGAACACCAGUGGCGAAGGCGGCUACCUGGCCUGAUACUGACACUGAGGCACGAAAGCGUGGGGAGCAAACAGG